rnacentral:hammerhead_ribozyme from 15 species
CCGGCGUCUAAGGUAGGCUUCCACUACGUUACUGAUGAGUCCAGUAGUGGAAGCCGGGACGAAACGCCAA